rnacentral:rRNA from 1 species
CCUACGGGAGGCAGCAGUGAGGAAUAUUGGUCAAUGGGCGGGAGCCUGAACCAGCCAAGUCGCGUGAGGGACGACGGUCCUAUGGAUUGUAAACCUCUUUUGUCGGGGAACAAAGGCGCCCACGGGUGGGCGGAUGAGUGUACCCGAAGAAAAAGCAUCGGCUAACUCCGUGCCAGCAGCCGCGGUAAUACGGAGGAUGCGAGCGUUAUCCGGAUUUAUUGGGUUUAAAGGGUGCGUAGGCGGACAGUCAAGUCAGCGGUAAAAAUGCGGUGCUCAACGCCGUACAGCCGUUGAAACUGGCAGUCUUGAGUGGGCGAGAAGUAUGCGGAAUGCGUGGUGUAGGGGUAAAAUCCGUAGAGAUCAAGAGGAAUACUCAUUGCGAAGGCGACCUGCUAGAACAUAACUGACGCUGAUGCGCGAAAGCGUGGGGAGCAAACAGGAUUAGAUACCCUUGUAGUC